rnacentral:rRNA from 1 species
UACGUAGGUGGCAAGCGUUAUCUGGAAUUAUUGGGCGUAAAGCGCGCGCAGGUGGUUUCUUAAGUCUGAUGUGAAAGCCCACGGCUCAACCGUGGAGGGUCAUUGGAAACUGGGGAGACUUGAGUGCAGAAGAGGAAAGUGGAAUUCCAUGUGUAGCGGUGAAAUGCGUAGAGAUAUGGAGGAACACCGGUGGCGAAGGCGGCAUCCUGGACCGAGAUUGACGCUGAGGCGCGAAAGCCAGGGGAGCAAACGGG